rnacentral:misc_RNA from 1 species
AAGUCGUAACAAGGUUUCCGUAGGUGAACCUGCGGAAGGAUCAUUAUGGGAAUUUUUAGAAGUAUGAUUGUGAAGAGGUGUGUGAUUGCUGGAGGGUGAAUGAAUGGAUUGAUUACCGGGGGGUAAUUGAUUGAUUGCUGGGGGCACACACACAAAAUAACAAGAACGAUAGUAGUAGUAGUAAUUAGUGCUUCAAAGAGGAGCACAACAACAAAAACAAAAAUACAACUUUUAACAAUGGAUCUCUAGGCUCUU